rnacentral:tRNA from 9 species
UGGGGCGUCGCCAAGCUGGUAAGGCACGGGAUUCUGAUUCCCGCAUCCGCAGGUUCGAGUCCUGCCGCCCUAGCCA